UUCUUGAAGAAAGUGAAAAGUGCUACUCCACUGAACACACACAAAUAAGGAAGUACAACAGCCGUAUUGCUGAUAUGGAGAAAGUUUGAGUGGUCUGCGUAGAGGAUGAAACCAGCCACGACAUUCCCCUAAGCCAAGACCUAAUCUAGAGCAAGGUCCCAACUCUUCAGUUCUGUGAAGGUUGAGAGAAGGGGAGAAGCUGCAGAAGAAAAGUUGGAAGCUAGCAGAGUUGGGCUUCCAGCAAGAAAGGGAAUUCUACUCAAAAGAGUUUAACCCAAAAGUGACUAUUUACAGAAGUGUAGGCAGAGUGAAGGGAAUUCACCAGGCAAGAUCCUCAAGGAACUAGCACCAACAGGAAGCUGUUACCACCUGGAGGCCUGAAGCAGCGAGGAGAAAAAACCAUUUGAUCAGCGCCCAGGAGGGCUGGAGUCCUGGAGGGACCACCCGGCAGGGGCUGUCACUGAAGAAGGAGGUAACCAUAGUCAGCAUAUGCCUGAAACAAGGAGCAGUGGGAGAAACAGCCUGAUCGUGUUCUCAUCCCAUGCUCUGACCUCCCAUUGGCUGAACCCAACCUGAUGUCAUGGCCAAGAGCGGGAAGUUGCCGGGCAGAGAGGCCAGCCUCCUGGGCACACAGUAGGCCAGAAGGACUGGAUCUGUGUAUGAUAACACAAUAGCCGGUACUCAUGAGAGAAGCCCCAGAGAUUUUGCUAGGCACUAAGAAUAGUCACCCUUCACCUCCAAUGAACCUCCCCAGCUUUGAAGACUGUGUGGACACAGAGCCUGGAUGACACUUGCUGUCCUGCCCAUGUGACUGACACGGCUUCCUCUUGCUCCAUCCCCACUGCCAAGCAGCAGACGAACAGCGCCAGACUGACCACGACCUCUUAGGCCAUCACAGCCCUGUGACUACUGGACAUCUUUUUAUCUGUCAUUUUAUUUCAAGGUGGUGACACAUAUAGCCAUGUGGAAGCUGAAUGAAAACCUCUCUGAAGUGAUUUUGAAGGAUGCAAAAAUUGAUAAAAAUCAGUCAACUUUUCGUAAAGCUUUUAGGAAGAAUGCAUGAAGACAAGUACAUUUAUAUGCCAAGAGUGAACAACCAGUGGAGAGACAAAACAGAUACAAGAGGGAAAGACGGUGCUGGGGGCAGCUUCCCUGGAGAGAGGGCGAGGA